AUAAAGACCACCCUGUAGAUAACACACAUAGGAAGGACUGGAAGCUAUGGCUGUGCUCAUGUCCCAGAGUCUCUCAGUCUGUGGUUGUUCCUCGGGAAGCUCUAAACACACAGUUACAGAAUUAUGCAAAGCCUCUUACUUGAUAAGAUCUUCUGGAAAUACUACAUGGUCAAGAGCAGUCUACACACAGCUUUAAGCUUAAAGUCUGUUCCAUCCCGCCACCACCAACAGCUUCUUUAAAAUAUGAAGACUUCGAAGUUAUUUAUCCAAACCAACCUGAUCAUUUCUUAAGAGUGAAUAUACCUUGGAAGACGUGUCCUGCCUUUAGUAGCGUCACAAUGGAUUACAUCCUCUAUAAAGCAGUCUGGGGUGAGAAAAUCGAAUUUGGACACCGUUGAGGAGACUAUUGCAGUCAUCCAAGCUCAAGAUGGUGGAGCUUCAUCCUUGAGAAUAACCAAUGGGGAUAGAUUUAAGAGACACUUAGAGUCUGCAGCCAACAGGGCUGAAUGAGCAGAGAGUUAUGAUUCAGAAGAUCAUCUAAAAUUGAACAGCUGCCACUACUGGCAAUAAGUCUACUGCCAUUUGGUAGAUAACCUUCUUAUCACACAGAAAAAUAUCAGUACAGACAAAUAGACCGCAAAGAAAAUGAGACCAUCAGCAAAGAAGAUAAAGAAGUUUGUACAAAGCAACUUUUUAUAAAUGGAUGGCUGUCAGGCAAAAAUAAAUUUCCUGUGGACAAGACCAAGAGCAAGGCAAGAGGAAAAUAAACAUGUU
rnacentral:lncRNA from 10 species